AGUGGUCCACACCCUGCCAGCCUUUUAGCGCUACAACAAAUCUCAGAACUGGUGCUGCCUCAGUCCCGCUUCAACCAGAGUACAGGGAGAAGUCUUGGAGGAGGAAGAAUCAAUUCAGGUACAAGUUGUGUUAUACCAGUAGCAGAUAUUCGAGGGUCCGACUCAGUCAACUACACAAAGGGAGAGAAGGCUCUUCGCUGCAAGCUUGCCUCCCUCUAUCGUCUAGUAGAUCUACACGGCUGGACUCAUCUCAUAUACAAUCACAU